rnacentral:lncRNA from 1 species
GAUGGAUCAAAAAGCAAAGCCGUUUAACUUCAAGCGCAUUACAUACUACACGAUUUCAGUGAGCCGAUAUGAGCCGAGAUGAGUCGAUAUGAGCUGAUCAGAGCCGAGAGAGCAAUAAAGUCAGAUUUCUCUGACGCCAUCCAUUAGUUUACUCCCGGAACCUACUAAGCACGCAGAUAAAAAUAAAAUAUUCAUUCAUUUAAU